GACGAACGCUGGCGGCGUGCUUAACACAUGCAAGUCGAACGAGGCCCUGCCUUCGGGCAGGUGAUCUAGUGGCGAACGGGUGAGUAACACGUGGGCAACCUACCCUCAGCUCUGGGAUAACCCCGGGAAACCGGAGCGUAAUACCGGAUACGACCAGGAACGACAUCGUGCCUGGUGGAAAGUUUUCGGCUGAGGAUGGGCCCGCGGCCUAUCAGCUUGUUGGUGGGGUAAUGGCCUACCAAGGCGACGACGGGUAGCCGGCCUGAGAGGGCGAACGGCCACACUGGGACUGAGACACGGCCCAGACUCCUACGGGAGGCAGCAGUGGGGAAUAUUGCGCAAUGGGCGAAAGCCUGACGCAGCGACGCCGCGUGAGGGAUGAAGGCC
rnacentral:rRNA from 1 species